CUUCAGGCGUGUGGUUUUUCAUUGUCAGGAUGCCAAGCCUCAUCCAGAGAUCCCACAAAUGUCUUGAGGAAUAGACCUUUUCCAUAAAGCCUCCAUCCUCCCAUCGCACUCCCACCACUAUUCUGUUCCUCCCCUGCUACCAGUGUCUGGCUCCAGGCAAAGAAAGGGAUGGUGCUACCUUUAGGGUGGGUGAGGUCUGGGUGAGCCAGGCAAGCCUUCCCCAAUCUUAAUAUUUUCUUAAGCUUUGAGGACAGAGGUCUUCCCAGCCUGCUUUUGUGGGAAAGGGAUAGGAUUUAGGCAUAUAAUAAGUUUGAGAGCCCCAAGUACCAGUGUGAAGCAUAUAAUUUAUAUUCAGUUACUUCCCUGCUGCCUCCCCUGCCAAUUUUCCUUUUCAGCACUUCUAUUAUUAAUAGGCCAUCACCCUCAAGGACCAGUGCUUCCACCCAUAUAUAACUCUCAAACUACUCCAACCAGACAUGUCUUAUCAAUCCCAAUGACUUUGAACAUUACCCACCUACUCCUCAAGAUCAGAUGACACUUUCCUCCUUCCAGGCUUCUCCAAAGUUCUGCUUGGUGACAGGGUGCUGAUAAGAGUAUCUUUCCCAAGUGUUUUCUUUCUUCUUCUUCUUUUUUUUUUUUUUUUUUUUUGAGACGGAAUUUGGUCUUGUUGCCCAGGCUGGAGGGCAAUGGCACGAUAUCGGCUCACCACAGCCUCUCCUCCUGGGCUCCCGGGUUCAAGCAAUUCUCCUGCUUCAGCCUCCUGAGGAGCUGGGAUUACAGGCAUGCGCCACCACACCCGGCUAAUUUUGUAUUUUUAGUAGAGAUGGGUUUCUCCAUGUUAGUGAGACUGGUCUUGAACUCCUGACCUCAGGUGAUCUGCCCACCUCAGCCUCCCAAAGUGCUAGGAUUACAGGCGUGAGCCACCACGCCCGGCCAGGUGUUUUAUUUCUAUAUUAGCAAAUAGAUAUCUUUCAGAGCUACAACCUCUCAUAAUGAUAAGGGAGAGGACUUUAGCUGAAUGGUGGGCCACUGGGGGGUCUUUGGACCCCUGAACAACUUGGGGAAGAGGAUGACCUAUUCCCAUCUGUCCCUUAGUACUCAAUUUAGAAUGCCAGGAAGGAAGUAGAGGGGAGCCCUCUUGUGGCAGUUGCUGAAGCCUUCCAGUUCUUUUGAGGGGAUAGGGGAUGAAGAGGAGACUGAACCUGGGAGGUAGAUACUUAGCACCCAGCUCUUAGGACAAACAGCAAUCCCAUCUUCCAGAACAUGCAUAGCAUCAGUCAUGGACUGGCGGAAGACUUGGACCCAGGGUCCACUUCAGGAUAAUCUGGGCAAGGGAGCUUCCCAAAUGAGCCUGUAGAAAGCCAGUGGAAGGGCUUAGGUUGGCUAAGGUGGGAUGGAGGGCAAAACCCUCCCCUUCAUUGCAGAGUAUAGGGGCAGUGGCAGAGAAUGAAUGUAUGUGUGGGUUUCUCAGCCUUGAGGUAUAAGGUCUAAAGGCUCUGGGGAUUCACUGCAUACACCACUUCCAGUUCAAGCGCCUAGGUUGGUUACAGCAGGAAGUUGACAAGUAUGUAUUUAGUACAUUCGAUGUUUUUAGGCAUCUGCUAAAAGUAGGUCAAACCACUGAACUCAGGGAGGGGGCUGGGGAUCCAUUUCUAGGAUGCUGUGGAAUCCUUUUGGGACAUCUGUAGUAUACCACGUUGGGUAGUGAGAGUUGGGGGACACCCCUUCCAUUGCUGCUGCUUAGUGUAGGGAGUCAUGUCUUUGGGCAGCAGUAAUAUUAUUAAGAAAAGCUUUUUUUUUUUUUGAGACACAGUCUCUGUCACCCAGGCCGGAAUGCAGUGGCGUGAUCUCGGCUCACUGUAACCUCUGCCUCCCAGGUUCAAGCGAUUCUUGUGCCUCAGCCUUUUCCGAGUUGCUGGGAUUAUGAGUGCACACCACAACUCCCUGCUAAUUUUUUUUUUUUUUUUUGAGACGGAGUCUCACUCUUGCCCAAGCUGGAGUGCAAUGGCGUGAUCUCGGCUCACUGCAACCUCUGCCUCUCAGGUUCAAGCAAUUCUCCUGCCUCAGCCUCCGAGUAGCUGGGACUACAGGUAUGUGCCACCAUGCCCAGCUGAUUUUUCUAUUUUUAGUAGAGAUGGGGUUUCACCAUGUUGGCCAGGCUGGUCUUGAACUUGUGACCUCAAGUGAUUCGCCCACCUUGGCCUCCCAAAGCACUGGGAUUACAGGCAUGAGCCACCGUGCCUGGCAGAAAAGCUUCUUUUCCAGUUCUGAAGAGUGUGAAGGUAGGAGAGCCAGAAUUCAGUUCUCUCACUUUCCAACCCAGUACCUGGAGAGAGAGUGUCUUGCUGGUCACUGGGGAGUGAUAGGAUCCGGAUGCCCGCCUUCCUCUUCAAGUUUUUCUUUCUGAUUGGGUUUCCUGACCCUGAUUGCUGGUAUGGGUAAGAAUGACUCUGAAUUCCUGAGAAAAGGGAAGAGGGUUAGGACAGAGGAAAUGGAAUCAUUUAGUCAGGUAAAGGGAGCAAAGCCACCGAAGGCAGUGGUUGGAGGUGUAGAUGUGAGGAAGUUGGGUUGAGACCAUUCACCAUCAAGGCUUGAAGAUGAGUGUCUGUUUGUGUGUGUCAUGUUGGCUGUGAGUUGCAGAAGAGAGUAUCUGGCCUCUAGUUGAGGAGCACUUCCGGCUUCUGAGCUGAACAUGGUGUAGAAGAGAGGAUACUCAAUCCAAAACCCUGGCUAUCUAUGCAGAGGGCUGACCAGUUCUACCCAUGUACCCUUCCUUCCCUCACCCUUCCUCACAAACCAGGCAUAUUGAGAGCUGUCUGGCAGUCAAUCCAGGCGAGGCAGCAGGUUUGAGAAUGGGCUUGUCCGCCUGGCACCUGCUUCCCCCCACUUCCACCUUCACCCCUCCAUCCCAUAUAUCGUUCAGGGUCCUCCCAGCACAGAAUUGAAUAGAAGGACUUUUAAGGCUUGGAGGGCUUAGCUUGGGGCUCUAACCCACAGGAAUUCUUUCUGAGUUCUGAAUAUAGUAAUAAAGGGCACUCUUGGCCUUAGGUUAUAGAUAGGAGAUGGGGAAUCUGUUCUUGUCUUUGCCAAAUCUUGCAUUUAUGGGAUGAUACCUCUUUGAUUAGAACAGCCAUAGGGGAAGAGUGGAGGAAGUAAGUAAGUGCUUCAUUCUUGGAUGAAUAUAUGCAUAAACAUACCUGAAAGAAAACAUCUAGUCAGCUGGGGGUAUGUAUACCCUUGAAAAUACAACACCAGGCCAGGCAUGGUGGCUCAAUUCUAUAACCUCAACACUUUGGGAGGCUUAGGUGGGAGGAUAGCUUGAGCCCAGGAGUUUGAGAUCAACCUGGGCAACAUGGUGAGGCCCCAUCUCUAUAAGAAAAAAAAA
rnacentral:lncRNA from 10 species